rnacentral:tRNA from 1 species
CAGGGAGACAACAAAAUGUUUAAUAUUAUUAUUUUGUCACCUUAGGUCGAUCGGUAUCUCACAUUCUUAAUUCGUUGAGAAUUUCAUUUCCUAAGUUUUUCUAGGUCACACCCAUUAUUUUUCCUGGGCCAUUAGCUCAGGUGGUUAGAGCGCACCCCUGAUAAGGGUGAGGUCCCUGGUUCAAGUCCAGGAUGGCCCAUAUCUCUAUGUUGGGGUAUAGCUCAGUUGGUAGAGCGCCUGCUUUGCAAGCAGGAUGUCAGCGGUUCGAGUCCGCUUACCUCCACUGAUUACCACCUCUUCCAUAACCGAUAGAAAGGAAAUGUUUUGAGUUGUGAUCAUUAUUCUGAACGAAUCUAGCUUCCUAAUGAAAUCAUUAAGAUGCUGGACUCAUUGAAUUAAUUUCAUUGUUUUCAGAGAACCUUGACAACUGCAUAGAUUAUUUUUAAAGACAAUAAGCAUCUUUAAUGAUGCAGAUUUAUUAUUUGUGCGAAUGCAUUAAUAACAAUUCUAUUAAGCUGAUGCUUCAAUUUUUGAAGUUAUUG